AUGCAUGUAAAGGCAAAGAUUGACAAAAUAGUUGCUCUCUCUGGAAUUGUCCGAGUCGAUAUCGCGUGUUAGCCUCUCGAAUCCAUUCCGGAUGGAUUCGUUUGGUUCUCCCAGAUCUCAUGCUUUUUCCAAUUCUUUUGAAUUGGGGGAUUUGAGAGAGCUGGCCAACUCUAGGGUUUUAGUCCACAAGGGCGGAGAGGGUUUAUAGGAGAAGCGAAGUGUUAAUCAGUGAGAGGUUUCAAGAAAAGCGGGGGAAGAAGAUGGUUGUCAGGAUUCGGUUGUCAAGAUUCGGGUGCCGGAACAAGCCCUUCUAUCGACUCAUGGCUGCCGAUAGCCGGUCCACCCAGAGAUGGGAAGCAUCUCGAAUUCCUGGGCUAUUACAAUCCUUUGCCAGGGACUGGUUAUCAGUUGGGGCACAGUCUGCGGAGCCCUUCCAACAUAUCCUUUUCUGACCGAGGCUUCUUCCUCCCCAAUCUGUGCUUGCAAUGUCCCACAAAGGUCGGCAUGAUGCCCGCCUCGUGGAUCCUCGGAGCAGUUGUUACCUGAGUCCCACAAGCUCUCCUGAUGAACAGGGCGCUGGAAAAAGCGAAGCAGGUGACAAGGAAAGCCUUCGAACGGCACCAAAACAGCUUCUGUUGUUUAAAGAAUGAGCAUAACAGAGAAGGAAGCUUGAAGGCUGUAUGUCCCUUCCUCGGUUUCCGAUAUAAAGCAGCCAUCUUAUGUUUAUGGCUCCCCUUGGAGUCUUCACACAUGCCUAAAUUAUUCUGAUCAGACAAUCAAUCUGAAUCCAGUUUGGAUCAUAUAAACUAUACCUUUCUUCAUAA